AAAUUGAAGAGUUUGAUCAUGGCUCAGAUUGAACGCUGGCGGCAGGCCUAACACAUGCAAGUCGAGCGGUAGCACAGAGAGCUUGCUCUCGGGUGACGAGCGGCGGACGGGUGAGUAAUGUCUGGGAAACUGCCUGAUGGAGGGGGAUAACUACUGGAAACGGUAGCUAAUACCGCAUAACGUCGCAAGACCAAAGUGGGGGACCUUCGGGCCUCAUGCCAUCAGAUGUGCCCAGAUGGGAUUAGCUAGUAGGUGGGGUAACGGCUCACCUAGGCGACGAUCCCUAGCUGGUCUGAGAGGAUGACCAGCCACACUGGAACUGAGACACGGUCCAGACUCCUACGGGAGGCAGCAGUGGGGAAUAUUGCACAAUGGGCGCAAGCC
rnacentral:rRNA from 1 species